UUUUUAUUCAACAUCGACAUAGAUAAAGUAGAAAAAUGAAAAAAUUUAUAUCGUAUAGUAUACUCGCUCUAUAAUUGGAAUUUCACAAUUUAUCUCGACUACUUUUUGGUGUCGACAAACCGUUUCGUGAAUAAAUUUUAUACCACUGAGUUUCAAGUUAUGGUUGUCGUGUAUAUUGAAAUUUAAAAAAAUUUAUUUUUUCAAACAAAUUUCCUGCAUUUUCUACGAGCAACAAAUCAGUCAAGGUCGGUAAUUGUUAUUAUCAGAAUACUUAGUUCCCACUAUUACGUUUCGUUUUCAUUUAUCGAGACUCAUUACAUCGCAUUGAUCGCAUCUAAUUACACCAGUCAUUAUUUUCAGCCAAUUUUCAUAUUCAUUUAUCUAACUAUCGCCACUUCGUUUUCACUCUAUUCCGAAAUGAUUUCAAUUCACUUUCGCGAACUUACAAUCAGCUUCUGUUGAAGGUGUAUACACGAAGUGAAGAUUUUUAAUGUGAAAAAAUCCAAAAAAGUCCCGUGAGUCACGUGGCAAGAACAGGACCAGUUGGUCAACUUGACGAUUUCACGUUAAUGUAAAUCAAAUACGAACCAAUGCCUUUGGCGGAUUCGGUCCCACAGUUUUGUUAUUGGCCAGUACUCCAGACGCCACAACAUAACGUCAUUCUUCUUGUUGCGCAGGAGCGUCGACGUCAUUCACGAAGUGGGAAUGCAACCGUGUUGUAGAAAGGCAGAGACAACACGCACUUCUUGGUCAUCCUUGGCACGAAACAGGUUAUUGUGCAGGAUUCUUUAUCUACCGGGAUGGGUUAAUCUCGUCGAAUACUUGCAUUCUUUCCGGAACUCCGCGGACAGACGUCAUCAGCGUCGUUGGAUUAACCCUUUGAGUCAUAGUGUUCUACCGGAAAUAAAAACGCGAGCAAGAGGAGAGAAGAAUUGACGAGGAUGAUAAAAAUAAACCUUACUGAGAGUUGUUGAAAUUAAAAUUGAUGAGGUGUGGAACAGCGCAGAUACCAGAUUAAUCUGGUAUAACGAUAACACGUAGGCUUCACAGCGCGGUUUGCACUUGUUGAAAAUGAAAUGAAGGGAAAUGAUUCUUCCUCAUUAGUCAGCUGCGACGGUGUUCGAGGCGACUUGCUGCAGCCUUGAAAGGAUUUCAGUUGCUGAAGGACAAGAGAGUGAUUUAAACCCAAUUGAAUUCUUUUGCAGAAGCAUAUUUCU
rnacentral:misc_RNA from 1 species